ACUGUGUGUGACUUUGGGUGGGUCCCUCUCCUCUCCCUGGUUCCUCAUCUGCUUCCAAGACUGCCCCCUCCCUCCCUGAGCCCAAAGAGCCGAUGCCUGGGGAGGGCCCAGCCUGGACUAAGGCCCAGCGGCGGGAGGAGCCUGGGUUGGAGGCCGGGAGCAGUGGGGCGAACGGCAGCAAAUAUUUAUGGAGCCAGGUCUGUGCCAGGCUCAGGGCUGGGUGUGGCGAGAUAAGGGGGCCAGGGGAGGCGCCCGGACUUGGCCUCCAACCCGCUUGCCCCAGGGAGGCCGGGAGCCGGGCAGGGGGAGGUGCCCGGGAAGGAGGGCUGGGCGCUGGGGUCGUGCAGGCAGGGGUCCCCGUGGAGCCUCGGGCCCCUCUGGAGAGUGGUUCACACUUCAUAGGUCAGCUCCAGCCUGGUUGGUAUGAAGCCUUCUCCCACGAAGAAGCCCCGAGCACUCUCGCUGCGGUGGCACCUCCCGGCUGUCCCCGGCUUCCCCUUGGGCACCAGUCUGUGUUUUGUUAAUAGCACCUGAGGUGGAAACAGAUGGGCUUCAAGGAAGCAAGUCACAUGGAAUUGGACCCGAAUGCAGAUUAUCAAAUAAGUAUCUGUGUGUCUACACUGAUACAAAGAAAUACGAGGAUGAGGAAAACCAGGUGGGCUUAUGGGUACUUUUGCCACACUCCCCACCAGGCUAUUCACACAGAAGCCAGGGAGAAUCUGUCAUACCAGGAGAGGG
rnacentral:lncRNA from 1 species